AUUGAACGCUGGCAGCAGGCCUAACACAUGCAAGUCGAACGGCAGCGGGGGGUAGCUUGCUACCCCGCCGGCGAGUGGCGGACGGGUGAGUAAUGCCUGGGGAGCUGCCCAAUCGAGGGGGAUACCAGUUGGAAACGACUGCUAAUACCGCAUACGCCCUGAGGGGGAAAGGUGGGGACCUUCGGACCUACCGCGAUUGGAUGCACCCAGGUGGGAUUAGCUAGUUGGUGAGGUAACGGCUCACCAAGGCGACGAUAUCUAGCUGGUCUGAGAGGAUGACCAGCCACACUGGAACUGAGACACGGUCCAGACUCCUACGGGAGGCAGCAGUGGGGAAUAUUGCACAAUGGGGGAAACCCUGAUGCAGCCAUGCCGCGUGUGUGAAGAAGGCCUUCGGGUUGUAAAGCACUUUCAGCGGGGAGGAAAGGUUGGCAGCUAAUACCUGUCAGCUGUGACGUUACUCGCAGAAGAAGCACCGGCUAACUCCGUGCCAGCAGCCGCCGUAACAC
rnacentral:rRNA from 1 species